rnacentral:rRNA from 1 species
UACGUAUGGUGCAAGCGUUAUCCGGAUUUACUGGGUGUAAAGGGAGCGCAGGCGGCACGGCAAGCCUGAUGUGAAAGCCCGCGGCCCAACCGCGGGACUGCAUUGGGAACUACCGGGCUGGAGUGCCGGAGAGGUAGGCGGAAUUCCUAGUGUAGCGGUGAAAUGCUUAGAUAUUAGGAGGAACACCAGUGGCGAAGGCGGCCUACUGGACGGUGACUGACGCUGAGGCUCGAAAGCGUGGGGAGCAAACAGG